AAGUUUCAACAACGGAUCUCUUGGCUCUCGCAUCGAUGAAGAACGCAGCAAAAUGCGAUAAGUAAUGUGAAUUGCAGAAUUCAGUGAAUCAUCGAAUCUUUGAACGCACCUUGCGCUCCUUGGUAUUCCUUGGAGCAUGCCUGUUUGAGUAUCAU
rnacentral:rRNA from 1 species